rnacentral:rRNA from 1 species
UACGUAGGGGGCUAGCGUUGUUCGGAAUUACUGGGCGUAAAGGGCGCGUAGGCGGUCUUGUGAGUUCCGUGUGAAAUCCCUCGGCUCAACUGAGGAACCGCACGGAAAACUGCUUGGCUUGAGUUCGGGAGAGGGAAGCGGAAUUCCGGGUGUAGCGGUGAAAUGCGUAGAUAUCUGGAGGAACACCGGUGGCGAAGGCGACAUCCUGGACCGGUAUUGACGCUGAGGCACGAAAGCCAGGGGAGCAAACGGG